GGGCGCUUACUCUCCUCCAAGGUUUUUGCAGAGCUUCACGCAGAUCGCUGCCAACUGCGGAUCGGAGAUGCCAGGGCCAGGCUGAGCGGUGGCGACCGGCCGGUCAGAUCGUGGGAGGUUGAGUCUGACGGCACCGGCUUGGACCUGGAGGAAACGCCGCACAUGGACGCGUCUGGUCCCUUGAUUCCUGGGGGACCAGGAGGUGACCGAGAGAGCAGGGACGGGCGCGCGGCGCGGUGGCUUCGGGCCUGUCUCUUUAGUCAGGAUCGAAUUGACUUUAGCAUGGUUUGUUUUAGAGAGAUUGGAAAGGCUGGGUCCUGACGUAGGGUUCAGGCCAGCGUUUCUUUCUCUGGGAGGGGUAGUUAGAGGCCUGGCUCUAGUUUCUAUCUAGUGAUUUUUCCCCCAUAGCUCUGCUUUUAAGUUCUGUGUGUUUAAGAAUGAAUUCAAAUAAGUAUACCAUUAGACAAAUGUAAAAAACGUUAUCUUUUAAGUAUUCACUGUUGUUCCCCUUUCUUUUUAACUUUCUCUCAUUUCCCUUCUUCAUUUACUACAAAAUUUUUAUAAAGAUUCCUAAGACUUCCCCAUAUUGCACAGAUUUGUUUUCUUCUGGACUACAGUGGCAACCUCUGGGAACAAGUAGAGCAAAUCGAAUAUAUUUUUCCUUUCCUUUUUUCCCCUCUCAGAAUCAUUUAAAAAGGGCUACUAAAUGUGCUGCGAUGUUGGAACCUGAAUAUUUGACUGGAUGUUUAAGUUCAAUGACAAUUUAGCCCUGGAAACCAGUGUUAAAUGAAUUGAUGCAAUAGACCAGUAAUUCGAGGAAGGAAGGAAGGAAGGAAGGAAGGAAGGAAGGAAGGAAGGAAGGAAGGAAGGAAGGAGGGAAGGAAGGAAGGAAGGAGGGAAGGAAGGAAGGAAUCCACUUAACAGAUUUGUGGGACUUGCCUUUUCAGAGAUAUAUCAUAUUAUCAAUCCACCAUUUGAAUGUUUUCGACUUACUUGCCACUUGACUUCAAUACCGCCCUAGAAUUCCUAAUAAACAGCUAACAUUCUAUGCUUAAAACAUUUUUGAGUCCAUAUAACUUAUGAAGCUAGUAACUUGAGAAAAUAAGGGACAUUAAUUACACUUCAUAGAGUGGUACCCUUUGGAGAUCACCCUGCUGCUCAUCUUUCUUAAAGUGAUUUAUUAAAGACCAGGGAAAUAAACUUUAUGGUGAAGGCAAAACAGAUGGCUGGGUAAUCUAUGCAUUGAGAUUCUAAUAGAUGGUAGUGUGUGAAUGAAUAUAAUGUUUUCAAUAUUGCAGUGAUGUCUCCCAGGAUUGUUCUCUAUUUGGUCACAUGUGUUAUAUUUAAAAUAGCCUUAGCUCAACAUGUCUCUUCAGAGUACAUUGUUUUUGCACAGAAAUGACACUUCUGUAUUUCCAUUCAUAGUCCCAAUUACAUGACUGUAAUUGCAGUGUGUUUGCAUCCAAGGCGAUGGCCCUUCAGGAAGUUCAAGAGAGACACCCAGAUGGCUUUCAAGAGAACAGCUGUUUGUACUAAUAUCUGCUGCUUCCAUGAACUUAGGGUCCAUGAUGGCCUAUUCUAUCCUUGGACCCUUUUUCCCCAAGGAGGUAAGAUGUUUUUGUAUUCUUAUGAAUUCUAAUUUAG
rnacentral:lncRNA from 1 species